rnacentral:rRNA from 1 species
UACGAAGGGGGGCUAGCGUUGCUCGGAAUUACUGGGCGUAAAGCGUGCGCAGGCGGUUUUGUAAGCCAGAUGUGAAAUCCCCCGGGCUUAACCUGGGAACUGCAUUUGGGACUGCAAGGCUCGAGUACGGCAGAGGGAGGUGGAAUUCCACGUGUAGCAGUGAAAUGCGUAGAGAUGUGGAGGAACACCGAUGGCGAAGGCAGCCUCCUGGGCCAGUACUGACGCUCCAUGCACGAAAGCGUGGGGAGCAAACAGG